rnacentral:lncRNA from 13 species
CGGAGCGGGCCCGGCCCGAGCCCAGCGCCGCCCCGGCACCGGGCCCGCGUCACUUCCUGAGCUGCCGGGCCGGGACUGUCGGGGUUCGGCUGCGCUCCGGGGCAGUCCCGCCGGGCUCUACAGCUCCAGGGCCGAGGGCGGCUCCCGGACCCUCAUCCCGUGAUACGGGUGACGCUGUUGACGGGACUCGGCCUUCUUUUUCCUGAUUCUGGUCACAGCCUUCUCUCAGGCAUCCACCUGCUCCGGCGUGGGGCUCCUCCACGGGCUGCAGGUGACUUAAAAAUGACACAUCAUGCGACACAAGCAGGUGUCAGAGAAACACCAGACUAAAGGAGCUAUCUAUUGCUGUGCAAGCUUUAGUCAAGAUGUCAUUUCAGCUGGCAGCCUGAGAUGUCCAAAGUGUUCAUAUGAAGCUGUGAGCUCUGACAGGUGUAGAGACCCUGCCCAGGUGAACAGUAGGACAUAGAAAUGUGUUUAGGUGACUGACUCUAGUCAUCAGCAUCUUGAACAGAGUAAUGGAAUAGCCAUACUUCUCUUUCGACCAGCUUGCCUUCUAUAUAAAAAUAAAUAAUUUUAAGGUUUUGAUUUUUAGCUCAGUUGCUCCCUCUAGCCAGAUUUGUUCAUUUGCAAAAGCAUCAGUCAAGCACAAUAUGAAGAAAAUUUUGAAGAGCAGGCUCCAAACCUUUGUAAACACAUAAAUGACCCACUGACAGACAUUGACUUUUUACAUAAAUGGGUAAAGAAAAAAUUCUUUUUUACUUAUAUGUUCAUCUUCACUAGAUACUGGGAUUCAUUCAUAUGUCCUUUUUGUGCAGAUAAAACAAUACUUUCCUUAAUGAAAAAUAAUCCAUGGAAGUACUGGAAAUAAGGAAGCAAAGAAUAGUACUAAUAUAGAUUAGAAAAAUACUGUGUAAGGUGCCUUUUGCAAAUUUGCAAUGAGCAGAACAUGAAUU